CUUGUGUGCCUAAAUGUAUUACUGAAUAUUCAUGAUGCUGUAGUAUCUACACAUUCUGUGAAUAUGGUUAUAACCUUGGAUGUAAUAUCAAUUCAACAUACAUAUGUCCGUCGACCUAGCAACCUUCUAAACAAGUGCCAAAUAACUAAUGAGGUUCUUGACUUGUACUAUUUUGCUUGUCAUGCAUCUAAGAUAAUGCUUGUUAUUCGCUAGCUUCUUUAUGUGUUUUCUUCUUACUUUAUUUUCCUAUAUCAAUGAAUCAUUUGACCUUUAUAUAAUCUUUUACUUGGAACUAUCUUAAUUACCUAUAAACCUAUAUUUUUGUUUAAAUAAGAUCUAUUUUAUUUCAAUUUCUAAUUAUUUCUAAAAGUGUCCUAAAUCCUUUCAUAACAUUACCCCCUUGUUAAGUUUGAAAUCUCCUGAUUUCAUUUUUUUUUUGCAAAUUGUUUUGAAUAUAACUUUAAUCUUUGAA
rnacentral:lncRNA from 1 species